rnacentral:sRNA from 1 species
CCCUAAAUGAACGUGAAAUUAUUUUGAAGUUAGCGCACGGCUCAAAUGAGCCAAUCCCCUAAGCCCAAAGCGAUUAUAUUUGCUUUGGGCCUUUUUUA